rnacentral:lncRNA from 1 species
AUCCUAAGACGGUGCCACGUUGAAAGUCACUAAGCUCUUCAGUAUUUUUUUAUUUCAUUUUUUAAAACCUUCUUCAAGUCAGCGGCAGGUAGUCUAGUGGUUAGAGCAUUGGGCCAGUAACCAAAAGGUUGCUGGAUCAAAUUCAAGAGCUGACAAGGUAAAAAUCUGACAUUCUGCCCCUGAGCAGUUAACCCACUGUUCCCCUGGUGUUGAAGAUGUGGAUGUCGGUUAAGACAGCCCCCCGCACCUCUCUGAUUCAGAGGGGUUGGGUUAAAUGCAGAAGACACGUUUCAGUUGAAUACAUUCAGUUUGACAACUGACUAGGUAUCCCCCUUUCCGAGUUAAGAGCAAAUUCUUAUUUUCAAUGACGGCCUACACCGGCCAACAUCGGGCGACGCUGGGCCAAUUGUGUGCCGCCCUGUGGGACUCCCAAUCACGGCCGGUUGUGAAACAGCCUGGAAUCUAACCCUGGUUUUUGUAGUGACGCCUCAAGCACUGAGAUGCAGUUCCUUAGACCACUGCGCCUCUUUUUGGUAGCCCGAGUAAGGCCAUUCUACUGCCAAUGUUUGUCUAUGGAGAUUGCAUGGCUGUGCGCUUGAUUUAUACACCUGUCAGCAACGGGUGUGGCUGAUAUAGCCAAAUCCACUAAUGUGAAGGGGUGUCCACAUGCUUUUGGCCAUGUAGUGUAUCUGAAUGGCCAUUCAUACGGACAACGUACUGUCUACAUCCAUUCCCAAUUUGCCUGUGGACAUUACCAGUAAGCUAUAGUACACUGGCCAGUGUCCUGAGGGACUCCUAGAAAGGAGUCAAGCAAGGUAAACACACAACGUAUGAGUGCACAGGGUUGGUACAUGCACACAAACAUACAGAUGUAGGAUCUUCAUUUGAUCACCCUGUUGCAGGAGAAUGUUCCCACUAUGCAGGACUUUUAAAACUUUAUUUGAGGUUUACCAAAUGUUCUGAAGUUAGAUUUUCCCUUACGACAAAUGUAAUAACCCUUACAAAAACGUCCAUUAAAUAUCUGUCUUUGCCAUAGACAAUUCUCAGGCCAAUUGUUGCUAGUCUACAUCAACUCAUUGCUAAUGCUUGCUUGUAUAUUUUAAUGAUCUUUCUGGAGUCAGGUAAACAUUUUACAUAUGCUAAUAACAUAGGCUAAUUGCUUAGUCUUAUUAUGAGUCCACAUGUAAUCUACAGUAUAUAUAAUAUACUGUAUAUACACAAAUCAAAUAUUACUGCCCACUACGUAAUGCCUCGCAAGGCCAUAUGCAUUUAAAAGAUUACAACAGGAAUCAGAUCAAAAGCGUUUAAGUUAUCUCUUUCGGCUAGAUAUUUGACAGCCAGGUGAUAUAAACGUCCCUCCUCUUUGACAGGAAAAUCUCUUUGUUCCUGAAGGCUCGUCUCCCACCAAUCACGUAGAGGUGGCUGAGAAGAGGAGCUGCCUCUGGAUUUAUAAUGUCCCAUUUUGGGACAACACCUGCGCCCUCUUCUGAGGGGAUAGGAAAGUGACAGGGGAGGGUCUCAGUCAGAGGGCAUGGUGUGAUACUGAGGGACUGAGGUUCUAGUCUACAGGCCAGAACAUUUAAUCUGUCCUGUGCAAAUUAAAACAUCAAAGUGGACUCGCCAAGCCACCAACCUUUCGACAAAUGUCGUCAAAAUCAGGGGAGACUAAAUGAUGGCCUCAUGACAUUAAUCAAUCUGAAUUUUCAAUUCCAUUGUUGCCCCUUGUGGAACAUGUUCCAGUAAUAGAAUUCUGCCUCUCAAGAGCUCCCACAACUGUUGUACAGUACUUUUGAAUUGUGCCAUGAUCUCAACAGAACAACAGUUUGUAAAAGAUGAACUCAACCAGGCUGACAUAGAUUAUCUAGCAACAUCACAGAGUAGAGUUUGAUUCUGCUGAGAAAGACAGAACGACGACACUAUGCAAUGGCACGGUGGAGAGAAAUUCAUUUUUAUCAAGUCGACAAGGGCCCCUAUUGAUUCGGUCUGCUGUGACAGCCACACUAAUUAGGCCCAUAGCGUUAUGUCAGUGAAACCACCAUGCUAUAUGACUAAUCAGUUUAUAUUCAGAGACAUGAUGAUGAAGAUAGGGACUUAGAUGUAACAUCUGGCAGGGCUUGGGGGAUUAGGGGCUGAUUUACCAUGGACCAGAUCAUAGAUUUAUUAACAAACUGUGACAAAUCGAAACUCUGCUGAAAUAAUGUGUUUUUCAGAUUGGGAUGUAUAAAUCUAAAUAUUAUAAUGUGCAGAAAGCUCUUUGCUGAGUUAAUGAGCUGAGGUUUAUGAUUUUGUAAAACACUUGCUGGUAAGUGCUCAGAGAAAGCUUAAUGCAAACUAGAAUGAGAUUGAGAUAUUGAAAACAACAGAGAAACAAGGCAA